UAAUACGUAGGAUGCAAGCGUUGUCCGGAAUUAUUGGGCGUAAAGAGUUCGUAGGUGGUUAUCUAAGUCUGGUGUUAAAGCCCGGAGCUCAACUCCGGCAUGGCAUUGGAAACUGGAUGGCUAGAGUGUGGAAGAGGUAACUGGAAUUCCUGGUGUAGCGGUGAAAUGCGCAGAUAUCAGGAGGAACACCCGUGGCGAAAGCGAGUUACUGGUCCACUACUGACGCUGAGGAACGAAAGCCAGGGUAGCAAAAGGGAUUAGAUACCCCUGUAGUCCUGGCCGUAAACGAUGGAUACUAGGUGUUGGAGGUUUCGACCCCUUCAGUGCCGUAGCUAACGCGAUAAGUAUCCCGCCUGGGGAGUACGACCGCAAGGUUG
rnacentral:rRNA from 1 species